AUCUGCAAUUCUCCUGAACCAAUUCUGAUGGAUAAUAUGACUGUGUCAACCACAAAAGAGGAAAAGAAUGGGCUUUAAAUCCCUCCUUUACAGCCAUCCAAGGCAGCAGCUCCUUCUUCAAACGAUGGAACUUUAAGGAUGGAACCAAUUGGCUACAAAUCAUUUUAGCUGAUGCACUGAGACAAUUCUGAAGCAAACCGUCUUAUCCUGGAUUUUGUCAGUAACUGGAGUUGAAGGACUUGAAGAUUCUCAAGGUAACAUCUAUGAAAAAUGGGCUUUCUCUUUUUGUUCAUCUUUCCAC
rnacentral:lncRNA from 1 species